rnacentral:misc_RNA from 1 species
AAUUCUCAACCAUUCAAGUUUUGUAAACUUCGAUUGGCUUGGAUCAUGGGAUUUGCGGGCUUUCACAAGUCAGCUAUCCUUAAAUGCAUUAGCAGAGCUUUUGCCGCUAACUUUUGGUGUGAUAGUUAUCUAUGCCAUUAGUGAGCCGCAUGAAUAGAGCUUCGCUUCUAAUUGUCUUUGCAGACAACUUUUGACA